rnacentral:rRNA from 1 species
GUCUAGGCCAUGCCACCCUGAACGCGCCCAGUCUCUCCCCUGAUCUCGCAAGCUAAGCAGGGUCGAGCCUGGUUAGUAUUUGGAUGGGUGAAUAUGUAAACUGUGGAACCAGUCU